UACGUAUGAUCCGAGCAUUAUCCGGAGUGACUGGGUGUAAAGAGUUGCGUAGGUGGCAUAGAAAGUCGGUAGUGAAAUCUGGUGGCUCAACCAUUCAGGCUAUUGCCGAAACUUCUAAGCUCGAGACCGUUAGGGGUAACUGGAAUUUCUAGUGUAGGAGUGAAAUCCGUAGAUAUUAGAAAGAACACCGAUAGCGUAUGCAGGUUACUGGGACGGUUCUGACACUAAGGCACGAAAGCGUAGGGAGCAA
rnacentral:rRNA from 1 species